rnacentral:rRNA from 1 species
UACGGGGGGGAGCAAGCGUUGUUCGGAUUUACUGGGCGUAAAGGGCGGGUAGGCGGCCACCGCAAGUCAGUUGUGAAAUCUCUGGGCUUAACCCAGAAAGGUCAACUGAUACUGCGGGGCUAGAGUGCAGAAGGGGCAACUGGAAUUCUUGGUGUAGCGGUGAAAUGCGUAGAUAUCAAGAGGAACACCUGCGGCGAAGGCGGGUUGCUGGGCCGACACUGACGCUGAGGCGCGAAAGCUAGGGGAGCGAACGGG